AUGAUGCAUGCAGAGAGGCCUGCAAGGGUGUGGGUGGGAGGGCCGUGCUGGGUGCGGAGAGCAGAGGGGAUGGCAAGGCGCAGCUGUGUGGGGGGCCCCUCUGCCUCCCCCCAGGCGCGGCAUUACUCUCCUUCUGCAGAGCCUUUGUGGCGCAUGAGGAAGGCGAGCUUUCAUGCGCAUCCUGGGAUCAGAGACCCUCGAGCACUCCUGGGACUGCGUCUGGGUGUGAAUGAAGUGUGCCUUCGAGUGCAUAUUGUGUGGAGUUGGCAGCUCUACCGCGUGUGUGACUCAGAAAGGAAAACCUGCUUCUCGGUAAGCAGCCCGACAUGUGGCACACAUGCACAAAGAAUUCACACACGGAUGAGAGGAGGCUGUACACGCAGAUCGUUUUCACAUGAUCCGUGCAGACGUCCUCAUGCACCCCUUUGUAUUUAGGAGGUGAUUUCACAUUUCCAGAGUCCUUUUGCAGUAGUCUCCAUUGCAGUGAAACAAGUACAGGAAGAGGAACAAGGGGAGCGUAAUCAUGAGGAUAACUCUUCCAUCCCUGUCCCAGUGAGAUGAUCCAUCUACUGUUGACUCAGAGUUCAUUCACCUCCGUUUCCAACUUUCCUUCUUGCUAGUUUCAGGCUGUCAAUAGUCGAUUUAAAAUUUAUCUCAGAAGUUCCAAAAAAAAAUCUGGGGUGAUCUACCCAGGGCAUCUGAGGCUUUCCAUGGCAAAAACGCAUGUGGGGGGUACGAUUCCAGUGCCAGGCCUGCUGACUCCUUCAGACACCAGAAUUCAUUAAAUAUUUUAAAAUAACAGAAAAAGAAUGCUUAUGGUAAAAGUCUGUUAAGCACUGAUGUUUGUUAGACCAAGAAGGGCUUUCCCAAGAAUAACACAGAGCAGCCUCAUGGCGGAGGAGAGAGAUCCAGGCAAGGCUGCUCCUGCUGGCCUUGUGGUUAAUCUUUUGUUCAUGAGUCUGAGGGUGAAGGUUCCGAUGGCUUUGCUUUCUGAAGAACAGACAUAGUGUACUAAGACUUUUGUUUUACUGCUGUGUUUUUUACAGGGAACGAGGACACCGUGUAGACUGUGGAGCCUGUAAAAUUCCAAACUGCGUUUGGCAGCAUGCAAUCCUGAAGACGGGAGCGCGACCUUUCUUCAUCCCGGGGGACGUCCUACAGCUUGUGAUGAUUUAUGUAGCUGGGGUCUGCAGUACCAAUGUAAAGGACUGUGCCCACUCUGAAGCCCCUCUGUAGCUCGAGGUUUGGCCUGUGAGGGGACAGCCUGCGACCAGCUGUGGACUCAGUUCUCCAAGGCCCCCGAGCAGGUGGUUUGAAUUCUAAUGACAGGUGUUAUCUACUUCCUGUGUCAAGGACAGCAAGCUUGCUCUCUCUUGCACAGAUACUGGAACCAAAAUAUUUCUUUUUAAGGAAAACUUUUCAAAGCCAAGCAGAUUUAUUUCUACCACAAUGUGGAGGCUAAUUCCCUGUGUGGUGUUUGUUACAGUCUUAAUUACACAAUAUCAAAAGUGCUAGCUCUGCACCUCACAAUGCGCCUGUGGAAUCACUUGAUUUGUUUUGGCCCAACUCUUCUCGCUUGCUCAAUAAUAUGAAUCUUGGCAAAGAAAAGGGAGCCAGAGUCCAAGUCCUUAUGACUUGGAGUUUGCAACCCAAGGAUAAGUGAGGGCUGUGUGUGUGUGCACGUGUGUGCAUGUGUACAUAUGCACGUGUGUGGGCAUGUGAGUACAUGCCCGCUCACUCGCUGCCUUUCCAACAGCUCUGGAAGUUGGGUUACAAAAAUGUUGAAUUUGUAUAUAUUGGGGAGGAAAAGGAAAGGGACGAGAUGGUGAAGGAAGGACCAGGUGUCUACACUGGCUGCAGAUGGUGCUUGCCUAGGGCUGUAGCUAAAGCGACCCCGAGCCCAGGCAGAAGUGAGCACCAGCUUGACAAGGAGCACCCUGGGACAGGGUGGGAAGAGCAGGGCCCACACCCUCUGGUGUCCUUCUGUACUCUUGUAAUCAGCUCUUUGCUGCUCUUGUCACCUGCUGAACGCUCUGGUGUUUGACACCAAUAGGGGCAGGAUGACCACUGGUCCUAUAGAGGUUUCAGGAGCAUUUGCGCUAAGAACCAGGGGAUAUCAGAUGACAGGCAGCUCCAGAGCGAUGCUGUGGAUGGCACCCGCUCCUGCAGUGGAAUGUCAGAGGUUCUCAUCCAGAACCGACCUUCAUCAAGGAUGUGACACUGCAGGACUCCCCAGGGAGAGUCUGACAGGGCGUAUACAUGUGUGAGAAUUGAGGGUUUUUUUUUGGUUGAUUCAAGUUAUUAAACAAUUUUUUACUAGCUGGACUGUUUGCACAUUCCAAAGUAUGUUGGAGGGAACAAAAUAACUUCCGGAGAACUGAGAUUGGGUGCCAAACUCUUACAAGGGGAAAUGCACAGGGGUUUCUGGAAGACCGUUCUGAAAGUGAUUCUGUAGCAACUAGUUCAGAAACUACUUUUAAACAGAAAGAAAUACGUAUGCAGAAA
rnacentral:lncRNA from 1 species